rnacentral:rRNA from 1 species
UACAGAGGGGGCAAGCGUUGUUCGGAAUUACUGGGCGUAAAGGGCGCGUAGGCGGCCUUCUAAGUCGAACGUGAAAUCCCUGGGCUCAACCCAGGAACUGCGUCCGAUACUGGAAGGCUUGAAUCCGGGAGAGGGAUGCGGAAUUCCAGGUGUAGCGGUGAAAUGCGUAGAUAUCUGGAGGAACACCGGUGGCGAAGGCGGCACCCUGGACCGGUAUUGACGCUGAGGCGCGAAAGCCAGGGGAGCAAACGGG